UCAGAGGAAUUUGUCUAUUUAUCGUCAUUACUCGUUUAUUUUCACUUUUUUUAUGUUUUCUAUACCGCCGUCUUAAGAUAAAACUUCAAAUUUUUGUCCCAGGCUUUUUUGACAAGUCAGGUCAAGGUGGAGAUCACAAGAAAGUUUAGAUUAAUUAUUUAUAAAUGUUAUUUAAAGCCAAUUUUCUAAAGAAAAUUGAAAUAAAGAUUUGAAAGUAGCUUUAAAUUAAAAAUUUAAAACGAAUUUGUCUCAGGUGUACAUAUCGCCCGUCACCCUCGUCUAAAGAUGAGGUAAGUCGUAACAUAGUUAGUGUACUGGAAAGUGUACUAAGGGAAAUUUAAAAGCUUUAGCGUUUCAUUUACACAGAAAAGAUUAUCUAUUCAAAUUUCAUAAAUUUUCUUUAAUUAAAUCAAUAUUUUCCCCCUUUAUUUCCCAUUUUUAGAAUAUUACCGCAAGGGCUUUCAUAUUGAUCUCAAGAAACUUUUUAAUUUACCUUUUGUAUCAGGGUAAAUCAAACUUUUUUUUUGAAUAUAUCCUCCCGAAAUAAAAUGAGCUACUCCAUUUUUUAUAUUUUAUAGCAAAAAAAUAGUAAAAAUUUAGUAGAAGUGAAAUUCCAUUCGUAUUUUUUUAUACCUGGUUUUUUCAGAUAGUAAAAAUACUUUUACCUAAAAAGGGACAAUCUUUUUUAGCUAUUUAUGUUGAAUUUUCCUCAUUCAUCAAGGAUUAGAAGUGUCUUUCUGUGUAAAAACUACACCUUCUUUUUUCAGAUAAAUUUUAUUAUGAUAAUUCUAUCCCAUUUUUUUAAACAAUGAUUCAAUUAGUAAAGGUCUAUUUAUUCGUCUCUAUUAAAUAAUAUAAAACGAUAUUUUCAAUUUUUUUUCAUUAACUUGGCUAAAUUUUCUGACUGUUUACCAAAAACAUUUCUGAAUGGUUGUUUGUUUUCAGUAAGGCCUGCUCAAUGAUAUUUUCAAUAGCCGCAAUUACGUGCUAAGGUAGCAUAAUCACUUGCCUUAUAAUUUAAGGCUAGAAUGAAAGGUUUAACAUGAUAAUUUCUUUGUAAAUUAAAUUUCUAGAAUUUUACUUAUAAGUAAAAAGGCUUAUAUUCAAAAGGGGGACGACAAGACCCUAACGAGCUUUACUUUCUAGUUUAACUGGGGUGGUAAAAAACUAAAUCUUUUUAUCUUAUUUUUUUCAAUCCUUGCUAAAAGAUUUUCAAGUUACCGUAGGGAUAACAGCAUAAUUUUUUUCUAGAGAUCUUAUCUAAAAAAAAGAUUGUGACCUCGAUGUUGAAUUAAUU
rnacentral:rRNA from 1 species